rnacentral:piRNA from 1 species
GAGGGGUGCCGACUUGAUUAAGAACCCAA